rnacentral:rRNA from 1 species
GACGAACGCUGGCGGCGUGCCUAAUACAUGCAAGUCGAGCGCAGGAAACUGACGGAACUCUUCGGAGGGAAGGCAGUGGAAUGAGCGGCGGACGGGUGAGUAACACGUAAGGAACCUGCCUCAAGGAUUGGGAUAACUCCGAGAAAUCGGAGCUAAUACCGGAUAGUUCAUCGGACCGCAUGGUCCGUUGAUGAAAGGCGCUCCGGCGUCACCUUGAGAUGGCCUUGCGGUGCAUUAGCUAGGUGGUGGGGUAACGGCCCACCAAGGCGACGAUGCAUAGCCGACCUGCGAGGGUGAUCGGCCACACUGGGACUGAGACACGGCCCAGACUCCUACGGGAGGCAGCAGUAGGGAAUCUUCCACAAUGGACGAAAGUCUGAUGGAGCAACGCCGCGUGAGUGAUGAAGGUUUUCGGAUCGUAAAACUCUGUUGUAAGGGAAGAACACGUACGAGAGGGAAUGCUCGUACCUUGACGGUACCUUACGAGAAAGCCACGGCUAACUACGUGCCAGCCGCCGCCGUAACAC